UCCUGUGCUCCAUAGGAGGACCCAUUGGACCCCCGGGCUGGCUGCAGGGCCCACACCUGGGUUAGACCUCGCACAGGGACGCUGCUGCCACUGUAAUAAAGCGUGCCUACACGCUUCUGAAACUGGUGUAGGAACAACCUCAGUUCUGUGAAAGGCGGACGCAGCAGGACAGAAUCUCCGUGGACAUCUGUCUGGAGGAGCAAUUUUACUGCGACAUUUUAAAGAAACAAAUUUAAUUGAUUUCCAAGGGUGUCCAUCGCGCUUCCUUCACUGCCUUGAUCAUGUCGGGGUCACCACCUGCGGGGGUUUGUCCUGCAGACCCUGACUCAACGACGGAUGAAUAAUGUACACUGACACAGAUCUUAUGCUUGUCAGUCCUGCUGAGCAUCCAGGCCACUUACAGACUCCAAGAAGAGUCCUGUCAGCCACGGCUCUGACUUGUUGGCCCUCCCGGCAUUUAUUUAGCACACAUUUAAUGACAGAAGUCUCAGGUAAACACCACUAGAAGGUAAUUAUUGUUGCUGAACCCCCGAGUAGAGAGCAAUCAUGCACCAGUGGAUGAUCAGAGGCUGGAAACACUCUUUUUGUAGAACAUACAAAUGGACAUUUCUAAGCACAUUGAGGCCUAUAAUGAAAAAUCAAAUAUCCCACAAUGAAAACUAGAAGGAAGCUAUCUGUGAUAAUGCUUUGUGGUGUAUGGAUUCAUCUCACUGACUGAAACCUGAGUUUUGAUUCACCAGGUUGGAAACACUCUUUUUGUAGAAUGUAUGAAGAGAUAUUUCUGAGGCCUGUUGUGAAAAACUGAGGUUUCCACAAGAAAAACUGGAAACAAGUUAUCUGAGAAAAUGCUUUAUGAUGGGUGAAUUCAUCUCACAAAAUUAAACCUUCGUUUUGAUUCAAAAGGUUGGAAUAACUUUUCUUUUCUUCUUCUUCUUCUUUUUUUUUUUUUUUUUUUGGACAGGGUCUUGCUCUGUCACCCAGGCUGAAAUGCAAUGGCACAAUCUCGGCUCACUGGUUCAAGCAAUUCUCCUGCGUCAGCCUCACAAGUAGCUGAGAAUACAGGUGCCAGCCACCACAACUGGCAGUUUUUUUGUAUUUUUAUAAAAGAUGGGGUUUCAGCAUGUUAACCAGGAUGGUCUCGAUUUGCUGACCUCCUGAUCUGCCUGCCUUGGCCUCCCAAAGUGUUGGUAUUACAGGUGGAAUCACUUUUUUUGUAGAAUCUGUGCAGGCACAUUUCUGAGGCCUACAGUGAAAAAUUGUAGGCCUCAUUGAGGCCUACAGUGAAAAAUUGAAUAUCCCUCAAUAAAAAUUACAAACAAGC
rnacentral:lncRNA from 1 species